rnacentral:rRNA from 1 species
GACGAACGCUGGCGGCGUGCUUAACACAUGCAAGUCGAGCGGUAAGGCCCUUUCGGGGGUACACGAGCGGCGAACGGGUGAGUAACACGUGGGUGACCUGCCCUUAGCUCUGGGAUAAGCCUGGGAAACUGGGUCUAAUACCGGAUAUGACCUCAUGACGCAUGUUGUGGGGUGGAAAGCCUUGUGCGGCUAGGGAUGGGCCCGCGGCCUAUCAGCUUGUUGGUGGGGUGAUGGCCACCAAGGCGACGACGGGUAGCCGGCCUGAGAGGGCGACCGGCCACACUGGGACUGAGACACGGCCCAGACUCCUACGGGAGGCAGCAGUGGGGAAC